rnacentral:lncRNA from 1 species
UGGCUGAGCACAGGGUACUUUAUUGAUGGUAUAUGACAAGGUGGGGCUCCCUAGGCCCCUCCCCUCUUCAAGGGGUCUACAUGGAAACUGUGAGGAGGGGAGAUUCAGUGUGCCAAAUUCAUUGUCAUACCAGGAAAUGAGCUUGAAAAAGUGGUUGUUGAGGGCAAUGACAGCCCCAGCAUUGAAGGUGGAAGAGUGGGUGUUGCUGUUGAAGUCGGAGGAGACCACCUGGUGCUCAGUGUAGCCCAGGAUGCCCUUGAGGGGGCCCUCCGAUGCCUGCUUCACCACCUUCUUGGUGUCAUCAUAUUUGGCAGGUUUUUCCAGACGGCAGGUCAGGUCCACCACUGACACGGCAGUGGGGACACAGAAGGCCAUGCCAGUGAGCUUCCCGUUCAGCUCAGGGAUGACCUUGCCCAUAGCCUUCGCAGUGCCAGUAGAGGCAGGGAUGAUGUUCUGGAGAGCCCCGUGGCCAUCACGCCACAGUUUCCCGGAGGGGCCAUCCACAGUCUUCUGGGUGGCAGUGAUGGCGUGGACUAUGGUCAUGAGUCCUUCCACGAUACCAAAGUUGUCAUGGAUGACCUUGGCCAGGGGUGCUAAGCAGUUGGUGGUGCAGAAGGCACUGCCGACAAUCUUGAGGUUGUUGUCAUACUUCUCAUGGUUCACACCCAUGACAAACAUUGGGGCAUCAGCAGAGGGGGCAGAGAUGAUGACCCUUUUGGC